UACAGAAGACUACUUAUGUUAUGGUGGUGCGAUUCUACUCUUCUUUCUCUUUUCUCUCUGCAUUUAGCUUAUACAUAAAAUAAAGCAAGACUGAAAAAGGAAUGAAUAGCAGUAUUCAUGAAUUCUUUCUAAUAGAAUAGUUUACUAGGCAGUCAAAACUGGGAAGGCAGGCAAGUCAAACCCAUUGGAUUCAUUUCCUGUUCCAACCAUUCAAGCGAAGCGAAGUGAUUCAACUCUUCAGUUGCCUCCAUUCCCAAGGGAAGCAAGCCAGUUCUUCAAAUGAAGGCAGAGAAGGCUAAAGUCAGGUCCAACUGCUCAACUCAAUACGAGGAAUCCUGAACCUUCUAACCGCAAGACCAAGCUAUUGGCAGGGGAAAGUUGUUUCUCUUACGUUUUGUUCUCGAUAGCCAGAUAGUGAAGAAAGAAGGGGAAGGAAGACUCAACCUAGUGCCAAGCUAAAGGCUAGAGGAAGAAGAGUCGACUCAACUUGAGCCAUUCUUACCUUUGAAGAAGAGCAAAAAGAGCGGAUGAAAGAAGAGUGACUUCUUCAAAAAUAUCCAAGACCGCCAUGCGCCAUUCUUCUUUUUCUCCCGGGAGACGAAGGAAAGGCUAGGUCCCUGUGACACCGCCCUAAAUAGCUUGAUCUGACCGAACCUAAUAGAAUAAGGGGAAGGGGAUUGCCCCGGGCCGGGUAUUCUCGGGGAAUUCGGUAUUCAAGGAGAUGCGCCUUUCACCAGGUGAGCAAAAAGCAUUGACUCGCCUGGGAUUUAGAAUUCAAGAUAGCACAGUGAAAAUAGAAUCCCUUGAAGCCUUUCGGGUGGGAUUCGACUUGCCAACUGAUCCAAAUCAAGCUAUAGUAUGACAUAACUCAGAACUCGUAGCUGAAUAGCCAAAGCCUUUGACUGAUGAGAUUGAUGCUUCGGUCAAACGACUUCCUAAUAGACCUAAUGCUAAUGGUUGAGAUCGUGGAAUCAGUUCUUCUGUUCCCGGAAACCUGAUCUUCAGAAAUGCAGCUCACCGGGUUUUUCGAACUAAGCAAGGGCAGCUUCGUCAUUUCUCAGUCGUAUGAAGGUAAGAUCCACCCACAGGGGGGGAAAAAUGAGUUCUUUUAUUCUCACUGAGCUAAAAAGAAUGUGUCGUGUGUGGAUUUUUUGAUAUGUGUCUUUCUAACUAUGGCAACUUCAACUUAGUCUUUUUAAGUAAAAUCAAUCCUUGGUUGCCUUUUGCCUUCUUAGUCAUUUUCCUAUGUUUUGGAGAUUCUCUCUUUUUUUUUAGCCCUUCUACAUUAUCCUUAUACAUAGAUUAUAGAUUCCAUAUUGCAUUUAAGAAAGUCAUGCUCCGAAUCAAUACAGAAUGAAAGAAUCAGCUCGAGGUUAGGUUGAUCGAAAGAGAACAAGGUUCCAACUCCUCUUCUUACUCGUUCUUUCUUUUUCAUGAAAAUGAAACCAAAUCCUAAUUUAUUUUCCAUCUUUAUGAUAGAUGACCGCUCCGUGGGUAAUCUUGAAUCUUCAUGAAAGAUUAUCGAUUCCCUCUCUUGUUAUACCCCGGCCUAAGAUAGAACGAAGGUCAGGAAGGGAAGGUCAGUUUGGUAAUAGAUAUUCAUAACCAAAAAUCGCAUAACUCGAUACCAAGGCCAUGAAAACAAGAGAAUACAAAUGAACCUGACUCACUUGAACUACUGAGUUUGAAAUGGAUUAUCGAGUCUAUCUAUUUUAGACAGCUUCAGUGGUACAUCUCCUUC
rnacentral:lncRNA from 1 species